GUGGAGGAGCGCUCUGGUCGCGGG
rnacentral:piRNA from 1 species